rnacentral:rRNA from 1 species
GUCUAUGGCCAUACUACCUUGAACAAGCCCGAUUCCAUCGGAUCUCAGAAGCUAAGCAGGGUCGGGCCUAGUUAGUACUUGGAUGGGAGACCACCUAGGAAGACCAGGUGCUGUAGCGU